rnacentral:rRNA from 1 species
GAUGAACGCUAGCUACAGGCUUAACACAUGCAAGUCGCGGGGCAGCAUGGGGGUUGCUUGCAAUCCCUGAUGGCGACCGGCGCACGGGUGAGUAACGCGUAUCCAACCUGCCCUUCACCACGGGAUAACCCGGCGAAAGUCGGACUAAUACCGUAUGUUGUCCAUUGAUGGCAUCCGAUUUGGACGAAAGGCUUAGCGGUGAGGGAUGGGGAUGCGUCCGAUUAGCUUGACGGCGGGGUAACGGCCCACCGUGGCUACGAUCGGUAGGGGUUCUGAGAGGAAGGUCCCCCACACUGGAACUGAGACACGGUCCAGACUCCUACGGGAGGCAGCAGUGAGGAAUAUUGGUCAAUGGGCGUAAGCCUGAACCAGCCAAGUAGCGUGCAGGAUGACGGCCCUAUGGGUUGUAAACUGCUUUUAUGCGGGGAUAAAGGGACCCACGUGUGGGUUUUUGCAGGUACCGCAUGAAUAAGGACCGGCUAAUUCCGUG